rnacentral:rRNA from 1 species
GACGAACCGUGCAAACGUUAUUCGGAAUCACUGGGCUUAAAGGGCGCGUAGGCGGUCGACCAAGUCUGUGGUGAAAUCCUCCAGCUCAACUGGAGAACUGCCGCGGAUACUGGUUGUCUCGAGGGAGGUAGGGGCGCGCGGAACACUAGGUGGAGCGGUGAAAUGCGUUGAUAUCUAGUGGAACUCCGGUGGCGAAAGCGGCACCCUAGCAUUUUUCUGACGCUCAUGUGCGAAAGCGUGGGGAGCGAACGGG